UACGGGGGGGGCAAGCGUUGUUCGGAAUUACUGGGCGUAAAGGGCUCGUAGGCGGCCAACUAAGUCAGACGUGAAAUCCCUAGGCUCAACCUGGGAACUGCGUCUGAUACUGGAUGGCUUGAAUCCGGGAGAGGGAUGCAGAAUUCCAGGUGUAGCGGUGAAAUGCGUAGAUAUCUGGAGGAAUACCGGUGGCGAAGGCGGCAUCCUGGACCGGCAUUGACGCUGAGGAGCGAAAGCCAGGGGAGCAAACGGG
rnacentral:rRNA from 1 species